rnacentral:snRNA from 1 species
UUGCUUCAGCAGCACAUAGACUAAAAUUGGAACGAUACAGAGAAGAUUAGCAUGACCCCUGCGCAAGGAUGACACGCAAAUUCAUGAAGCGUUCCAUAUUUUU